GACGAACGCUGGCGGCGUGCUUAACACAUGCAAGUCGAACGGAAAGGCCCUGCUUUUGUGGGGUGCUCGAGUGGCGAACGGGUGAGUAACACGUAAGUAACCUGCCCUUGACUUUGGGAUAACUUCAGGAAACUGGGGCUAAUACCGGAUAGGAGCUCCUGCUGCAUGGUGGGGGUUGGAAAGUUUCGGCGGUUGGGGAUGGACUCGCGGCUUAUCAGCUUGUUGGUGGGGUAGUGGCUUACCAAGGCUUUGACGGGUAGCCGGCCUGAGAGGGUGACCGGCCACAUUGGGACUGAGAUACGGCCCAGACUCCUACGGGAGGCAGCAGUGGGGAAUAUUGCACAAUGGGCGGAAGCCUGAUGCAGCAACGCCGCGUGCGGGAUGACGGCCUUCGGGUUGUAAACCGCUUUCGCCUGUGACGAAGCGUGAGUGACGGUAAUGGGGAAAGAAGCACCGGCUAACUACGU
rnacentral:rRNA from 1 species